rnacentral:rRNA from 1 species
GUGUCAGCAGCCGCGGUAAUACGGAGGAUCCAAGCGUUAUCCGGAUUUAUUGGGUUUAAAGGGUGCGUAGGCGGCCAAUUAAGUCAGGGGUGAAAGACGGUAGCUUAACUAUCGCAGUGCCUUUGAUACUGAUUGGCUUGAAUCCACUUGAGGUAGGCGGAAUGUGACAAGUAGCGGUGAAAUGCAUAGAUAUGUCACAGAACACCAAUUGCGAAGGCAGCUUACUAAAGUGGCAUUGACGCUGAGGCACGAAAGCGUGGGGAUCAGACAGGAUUAGAUACCCUAGUAGUCC